AUCUAACUGGCGAGCCCCAAAUAGGACGAAACGCGCGUCGAACUGGAU
rnacentral:hammerhead_ribozyme from 1 species